GCCUCCGUAGCUCAACGGACAGAGCGCCUGCCUUCUAAGCAGUAGGUUGAAGGUUCGAUUCCUUCCGGAGGCA
rnacentral:tRNA from 1 species